AGCAGCGCGGUAAUUCCAGCCCAAUAGCGUAUAUUAAAGUUGUUGCAGUUAAAAGCUCGUAGUUGAAUUUCGGGGUUAGUAGGUUGGUCAUGCCUCUGGUAUGUACUGGUCUCACUGAUUCCUCCUUCCUGAUGAACUGUAAUGCCAUUAAUUUGGUGUUGCGGGAAUUUGGACUGUUACUUUGAAAAAUUAGAGUGUUUAAAGCAAGCUAACGCUUGAAUACAUUAGCAUGGAAUAAUGAAAUAGGACGUUCGAUCCUAUUUUGUUGGUUUCUAGGAUUGACGUAAUGAUUAAUAGGGAUAGUUGGGGGCAUUAGUAUUCAAUUGUCAGAGGUGAAAUUCUUGGAUUUAUUGAAGACUAACUACUGCGAAAGCAUUUGCCAAGGAUGUUUUCAUUAAUCAAGAACGAAAGUUAGGGGGAUCGAAGACGAUCAGAUACCGUCGUAGUCUUAACCAUAAACUAUGCCGACUAGGGAUCGGAUGAUGUUAAUUUUUUAAUGACUCAUUCGGCGCCUUACG
rnacentral:rRNA from 1 species